rnacentral:rRNA from 1 species
AGUGAACGCUGGCGGUAGGCCUAACACAUGCAAGUCGAACGGCAGCACAGUAAGAGCUUGCUCUUACGGGUGGCGAGUGGCUGACGGGUGAGGAAUACAUCGGAAUCUACUUUUUCGUGGGGGAUAACGUAGGGAAACUUACGCUAAUACCGCAUACGACCUACGGGUGAAAGCAGGGGAUCUUCGGACCUUGCGCGAUUGAAUGAGCCGAUGUCGGAUUAGCUAGUUGGCGGGGUAAAGGCCCACCAAGGCGACGAUCCGUAGCUGGUCUGAGAGGAUGAUCAGCCACACUGGAACUGAGACACGGUCCAGACUCCUACGGGAGGCAGCAGUGGGGAAUAUUGGACAAUGGGCGCAAGCCUGAUCCAGCCAUACCGCGUGGGUGAAGAAGGUCUUCGGGUUGUAAAGUCCUUUUGUUGGGAAAGAAAAGCAGCAGGUUAAUACCCCGCUGUUCUGACGGUACCCAAAGAAUAAGCACCGGCUAACUUCGUG